UACGGAGGGAGCUAGCGUUGUUCGGAAUUACUGGGCGUAAAGCGCACGUAGGCGGCUUUUUAAGUCAGGGGUGAAAUCCCGGGGCUCAACCCCGGAACUGCCUUUGAAACUGGAGAGCUAGAAUCUUGGAGAGGCGAGUGGAAUUCCGAGUGUAGAGGUGAAAUUCGUAGAUAUUCGGAAGAACACCAGUGGCGAAGGCGGCUCACUGGUCCGGUACUGACGCUGAGGUGCGAAAGCGUGGGGAGCAAACAGG
rnacentral:rRNA from 1 species